UACGGAGGGUGCAAGCGUUAUCCGGAUUCACUGGGUUUAAAGGGUGCGUAGGUGGGCAAGUAAGUCAGUGGUGAAAUCUCCGGGCUUAACCCGGAAACUGCCAUUGAUACUAUUUGUAUUGAAUACUGUGGAGGUCAGCGGAAUAUGUCAUGUAGCGGUGAAAUGCUUAGAUAUGACAUAGAACACCAAUUGCGAAGGCAGCUGGCUACACAAAUAUUGACACUGAGGAACGAAAGCCAGGGGAGCAAACGGG
rnacentral:rRNA from 1 species